UCGGAUUGAAGGCUGAAAUUCGCCUUCAUGAAGCCGGAAUUGCUAGUAAUGGCAGGUCAGCAUACUGCCGUGAAUACGUUCCCGGGCCUUGUACACACCGCCCGUCACACCAUGAGAGUUGGGGAUACCCGAAGCCUGUGAGCUAACUUAACGGAGGCAGCAGUCGAAGGUAGAAUCAAUGAUUGGGGUGAAGUCGUAACAAGGUAGC
rnacentral:rRNA from 1 species